rnacentral:lncRNA from 1 species
GACAUAUAAUGUGAAAUGCUAAAGGAAUGCAUAUUGAUAUAAUGUAAGAAUGUGAAAAGAAGUAUGUUAACAUAUUAUAGAAUGCUAGAUAAAUGCAUGUGAUUAAUGAUUUGAAUGCAUAAGAUAAAGGGCAUAUGAAUGUUAACAUUAUAAGAAUAUGCUUAAAGAAAUGCAUAAUGAUAUGUUGUAGAGCAUGCAUGUGGAUAAUGCUAAAUAAUGAUAUGAUAAGCAUGAUAUAGAAAUAAUGAAUGCAAGUAUGUGGUUAAUGUUAAGAAAUGGAAAUGUGCAUAUGGACAAUCUAUAUACAUUAGAUCGAGUUGCACUAAACCUAG